AGAGUUUGAUCCUGGCUCAGAUUGAACGCUGGCGGCAGGCUUAACACAUGCAAGUCGAGCGGGGGAAGGUAGCUUGCUACCGGACCUAGCGGCGGACGGGUGAGUAAUGCUUAGGAAUCUGCCUAUUAGUGGGGGACAACAUCUCGAAAGGGAUGCUAAUACCGCAUACGUCCUACGGGAGAAAGCAGGGGAUCUUCGGACCUUGCGCUAAUAGAUGAGCCUAAGUCGGAUUAGCUAGUUGGUGGGGUAAAGGCCUACCAAGGCGACGAUCUGUAGCGGGUCUGAGAGGAUGAUCCGCCACACUGGGACUGAGACACGGCCCAGACUCCUACGGGAGGCAGCAGUGGGGAAUAUUGGACAAUGGGGGGAACCCUGAUCCAGCCAUGCCGCGUGUGUGAAGAAGGCCUUAUGGUUGUAAAGCACUUUAAGCGAGGAGGAGGCUACUUUAGUUAAUACCUAGAGAUAGUGGACGUUACUC
rnacentral:rRNA from 1 species